CCACCUUCCAGUGGCUGAUCCCCGACAGCGCUGACACCACAGCUACACCCACGCACUGUGCCUAUGACAGGAUCGUGGUUGCAGGGAUGCUGCUCCGAGGCGCCGUUGUUCCCGACUCGGCUCUUCCCUUUAACUUCCAGGCUGCCUAUGGCCUGAGUGACCAACUGGUAUGUGUCCUCCCUUGCACAGCCACAUGAGGAUGGGACACAGGAGCUCAGGUUGGACACCAGCUCUUCCUGUGUCAUCCCGAUACCAGUAUCCUGAGGAGAGAGACGCACUAAGUGCCAAGCCCCCAGCACCUGGGGAGCCGGGUGAGUGCACCAGCAGUCCCAGGGACUCAAGUGGUGUCAAUGACAUUGGCCAGACAGGGCCCAGCCAGGUAGCACCAGAUGCUCAUCAGAAAAGACUAAUUCUAGGGGCCGGGAGUGAUGGUUCAUGCCUGUAAUCCCAGCACUAUGGGAGGCCAAGGCAGGCGGAUCACUUGAGGCCAGGAGUUCAAGACCAGCCUGGCCAACAUGGUAAAACCCCAUCUCUACUAAAAAAGAAAUUAGCCAGGCAUGAUGGCGAGCACCUGUGGUUCCAGCUACUCGGAGGCUGAGGCAGGAAAAUUGCU
rnacentral:lncRNA from 1 species